AAUAAGAUUUCAUGGAAUAUGAAAAAUGUUUAAAUAAACAUGUUGUAUAAGAAUGAAUAGAAGAUAUAACUUAGUUAGAAUAAAUGUGAAAUAUUGCAUUAUAAAAUAAACUAUGACCAAAGUUUAGGCAAACAUAUAAAUGGAGGGGCUAAACAUGUACAAGGAAAAAGAUAUUUACUAAAAGCAAAAUAAGGAAAAACAAACACACACAUCUGGCGUGUGUGUGUGUGUCGCCCCAAGCAGGAGAAAAAGAGGAGAAACCCUAAAAUCCUUGAAGUUGCAAAAUUGAGAAGGGAAAUUGAAGCUAAUCAUAUGCAUGAAUCUGAAUGUACAACCAUUUAAGCCUACUAAUCAAGUGGCAUAGGGAUCAUGUGGAAAUGGACUCAAGAACGGAAGGUUAACGGGUCAAGCGGAGGCGAGGAAGCAAGCAUGAACACUAACGCUCGAGGUAUACAAAUAAUGGAAGUUGUAGGUUUGACACUAAAAUCCAAUGAUGGUGUUCGAAUGGAUGGAUGAAUGGAUUAACAUAAGCGAAAGCAUGAGAUGUCGACGCCUAACUAUGUAUGUUUAAAACUUAUGUAUGAUGUGACUGGUUGCUAACGAUGUGAUUGUAUGUGGUGUCUACAGGUUGCGUGGAUUUAGCAUCAUUAUGAAGGAUAGAAAGAUUGAAGAUCGAGUCAAGAGCAAAGGAUUGUACGGGAAAGAUCGGUCACAUAGUUUAGCAAAUGUAGGUCCGAAGUAUUAAUAUAAUGGAACGUGGUAAAUCCUUUUUAAUGAAUGUAUGACAUUUGAUAUUCGAACUUUCCUGUAAGUACUAUGUCUAUUAAAGAACGAAAUUUUUGGGUUCAUA